rnacentral:rRNA from 1 species
UACGAAGGGGGCUAGCGUUGCCCGGAAUCACUGGGCGUAAAGGGUGCGUAGGCCGCACGGUAAGUCAGAGGUGAAAUCCCGGAGCUCAACUUCGGAAUUGCCUCCGAUACUGCCGUGCUUGAGGACUGGAGAGGAGUCUGGAAUUCACAGUGGAGCAGUGAAAUGCGUAGAUAUUGUGAGGAACACUAGUGGCGAAGGCGAGACUCUGGACAGUUCCUGACGCUGAGGCACGAAGGCCAGGGGAGCAAACGGG